rnacentral:rRNA from 1 species
AGAGUUUGAUCAUGGCUCAGGAUGAACGCUAGCUACAGGCUUAACACAUGCAAGUCGAGGGGCAGCAUGUUGGUUGCUUGCAACCAACGAUGGCGACCGGCGCACGGGUGAGUAACGCGUAUCCAACCUACCCUUGUCCAUCGGAUAACCCGUCGAAAGGCGGCCUAACACGAUAUGCGGUUCACAGCAGGCAUCUAACGUGAACGAAAUGUGAAGGAGAAGGAUGGGGAUGCGUCUGAUUAGCUUGUUGGCGGGGUAACGGCCACCAAGGCUACGAUCAGUAGGGGUUCUGAGAGGAAGGUCCCCCANAUUGGAACUGAGACAUGGUACCAAACUCCUACGGGAGCA